rnacentral:snoRNA from 1 species
AUACCGUGUUGAGGACACUUGUGGAGCAUCUCUUUAAACCGUUCCCAUGCCUCAUAUAAUUGUUCAUACUCAAACUGCCAAAAUUAAGUAAUCUCGGCCCUCAGUUG